GGCACAUUUGCAUUUGUGAGCCUCUGUGUCCGUUUCUAACACAACAGUCCCAAACCUACCGUGGCCGAUGAUUCUAUUGGCAUAGAAGCAUCCCGUGGCUUUAAGCUCUCUAGUAAACCCAUAUCAAAGCACCAGCAAAUAAGGCUAAAAAUAAUGCUCUGGCGCUUACCACCCCUGCAACAGCUCCUGGACGGCUGGACCUUAUCUGCAACGUUGGUUAUGGCAUGAUGAAGAAGAAGAAGGAGGUGAAAGCGGCAGCGGUGGUUUGACGGCAUUGGCGGUUAGGUUUAUUAAAGUAGUCGCCGUUGGUGGCGGCGGAGACUAUGUUGACUCUAAUCCUGACUUCCAUGCUAUGAGCCUCGGUGCUUCCUUGUGCUGAGCCUGAAAAUCCUACGUACGUGAAAUUAUUAACAUAUUAAAAGUGAAUAAUAAAAUGGGGUUGUUACGAAUUUGAAUAUGAAAUUAAUAUGUUUGAAAACUCUAAAUCAAACAUUGUAUUUAAAUCGAUAUCUAAAAUUAUCUUAUUAA